CAUGGGAAGCCGCGGACAUCAAUCCCGCGCCGUGAGGACGGGACCCUGUUGGCUACCACAAGCAGGGAGGAAACAUCUUCAAAUUCCGCACAGACCCAUUCAAAGAAAUACCACCACACAGGGAAAAAACAAUAGGAUGGUGGAGCCUCGCAACAAGUGACAGAAAAAGCUGUAUAUGCUCCCACUAAGAUGCCAGAAAAAGAAACAAUCUUACUGGCUGCCCACAGUCACUCUCUCCACCACAGAAGUAUAAGAGGACCAAUGCCUCAAUCAGUGCACAUGAUAGAUGGUGUUCAUCAAAUGAGCAAGUAUUCAAUAUUUCAUUUUUCCUCAUAAUUCAACG